UUUUUGUUGAAAUUAAUUGUUUUCUUGGGUAUUUUUAAACUAAAGUAUAUGCUUAAUUCUAAUCUGAUUUUUGUUGUUGUAAACUAAAAUUUUUGUAGUUUCUAACAAAUUUGUGCAUUGUUUCUACCAUUCUUUGGGUAAUUGAAAAUCACCACUCAACAGCGGUUUAAGAGUAUAUCUGGAGGUGAAGAGCCAGCCAUUUUGAAUACACUAUUGUGGAUACUCGUAAACAUUUGUUCGACAGUAAAUUUUAAUCAGCUAGCCGUACGGUGUUUUUGAAGAUUCUUUGGAGUUCUGGAGGAUUCCAUUACAGUGCUACCGUGGAUAUCGGCAUGACUGGAUUCCCUCCAUAAGAGUCAAAUUUAGAGAUAAAGUUUGAACUAUCGAACAACUUUCAACAUGCUUUUUCAACAUGCAACAGGAUUGUUAUACCGCAAAUAGCUGCAAUGGAAGACAAACAAUCGCAAUCGGAAUUUUCAUCACCAAACCCAAGCAUUUAUUUAUAUUUUUGUCAUUCGUGUUGUUAUUUGUAAGCUAAUCUUCCAAUAAUAAAGUACGUAUGAAAACA